CAAGUACUUAUCAAGUCGGUGCGUGAGUCAAGAUGUGAUUGAUCUCUCCAAAUUAGUAGGAGAUAUGAAUCAGUAUAUUUCAAUUUAGUAAAAUCUAGAUUCGGAUAAUUCAUGUGAUGGAUUUGAAAAAGAUUGAUAUAUAAUAUGGAUGACUUAUCUAGGAUUAAUAGUUAAAUCUUAGAUCAUCUUCGCGCAUUAGGAUCAAGGAGAUGAAUUAUACGAAAAUCAUAUGCCAAUAGGUUCUUGAAUGUUACUUUGUCUUCAUUCAACCUAUCCGGACGUCGGGUCAUCAUUGCUAGAUAGUUACAUCGAUUGAUUCAGGAAGAUAUUUUUAUACUACCAGUUUAGGUUUGAAUCUAUGGGAUCACACUCAAAAGAAGUUUCUGACUAAUCAUAUGGC
rnacentral:lncRNA from 1 species